rnacentral:rRNA from 1 species
AUGACCUUGGAGAAGUUUUGUGAAAUAAUAGGUGUGCCGAACGUUGGGAGAACGGGAAGGAUGGCCUCUCAGCCCUCCGAGCUGAAAACCGUCUUCAACUCUAUCUGCAACAUCGAUACGAGGGACAUUCGUCGGUCAAAGAUCUCCAGCAUCUUAUUCCCUCACCUCAGGUAUUUUGCAUAUUAUAUUGCUAGAGGGGUGUUAGCUCGUGACAACACAAGCAACAUUUUUGCACCGGAUAUCGCUAUCCUGGCAGCAGCCCUUUCGGGGAGGUCUGAUUAUAAUUUGGGUGUCUUAAUUGCUCGACGCCUUGCUAUGAACGGUAACAAGGGAGACUUAUAUGGCGGCAUUUAUGCCACACUUAUCUUAGAGCAUUUUGGAGGCACCCCGCACCCUGAUGAUAUUCCUUUUACUUAUUCAAGCUUUGAUCUUGUUGCUAUGAGAAGGCAUAAAUUUGUUACCAUGGAUUCUGAGCUCAAUAAUCUUGUUUACAUCUUGCGUUUCGGAACUACCGCGGAACGCAAGAUCCGUCUACCUGCACCUCUUUUGUUUGAUUUUUCUAGCAGGAACGGAUGGUCCUUUGAUGUUAUCCAGUUCGAUGAGUUCAUGGUUCUACAUCAGUUUCAUAACCCAGUGGAGGGGGUUGUGCCCGACGAGGAGGAGCACGGUGAGUUACCACCUUUUCAGGAAGAAACCGCCACCGAGUUUGGUGAAGGGUCUUCCUCUGCUUGGCGCACGGAUCCUUCCUCGUGGGAGACUCCGGGGAGUUCGGUGUACGCGCCAGCAUCCUUCAACGAUCCUUGGACUCACCACUAUCCCUCCGGAGCAGGUGGCUCCUGGGGGCAGUAG